AUGCCGAUGCAGUUCCUCUCGCUGCCCACCGCCCCCGCCGCCUCCCCGGCGCCCCACCUCCUCCCACCCAAGCCCUUCUUCCUCAAGCCCCUCUCCUCCUCCUCCUCCGCCGCCGCCUCCUUCCGCCGCCCCUUCCAGCCCCCGCCANNNNNNNNNNNNNNNNNNNNNNNNNNNNNNNNNNNNNNNNNNNNNNNNNNNNNNNNNNNNNNNNNNNNNNNNNNNNNAUGGCUCUCCAGCAAGCUCUCCCCGCCCCCGCCUCCCCCUCCCCCACCCCCAACGCGGCAACACCACCCUCCCCCGCCUCCGCCAGUGGAGCCGGAGCCCGAGGAAGAGGAGGAUGUGGAGGACGCGGAGGGGGAUUUCCGUCAGAAGGGGAAGGUGUUCGUCGGGAACCUGCCGCCGCGGGCUCGGAAGGCGGAGGUGGCCGACUUCUUCCGCCAGUUCGGGCCGCUCGACAAGGUGGAGCUCGUGCGCGCCCACGACGACCCGGAGCGCAACGCCGGCUUCUGCUUCCUCUACUACGCCGACGCCGAGGGCCAGGGCGCCGACGCCGCCGCGGAGCGCGCGGCGGAGGUCGACGGGGUGGACUUCCGGGGCAGGUCGCUCACGGUGCGGCUCGACGACGGGAGGAAGGGGCGGGCCAGGGCGGAGGACCGGGCGCACUGGGUGGACCACGGCCAAGGGAAGGAGGCGCCGUCGCCGUGGCACCACGGCAGGGACGAGGCCUGCCGCGAGUUCCGCAGGGUGGUGGAGUCGCGGCCCGAGGACUGGCAGGCCGUCGUCUCCGCCUUCGAGAGGAUCCCCAAGCCAUCAAGGAGAGAAUUUGGUCUGAUGAUUGUGUAUUAUGCCAAGCGGGGUGAUAAGCAUCAUGCUCGUGCAACCUUUGAGAACAUGAGAGCAAGAGGAAUAGAACCCAAUGCCUUUGUCUUCACAAGCCUUGUUCACGCUUAUGCAGUUGCUAGAGAUAUGCGUGGAGCGCUGUCAUGUGUUGAAGAAAUGAAAGCUGAGGGCAUUGAGCUGACAAUUGUUACUUACAGUAUCCUUAUUUCAGGAUUCGGCAAAAUCAAUGAUGCUCAAUCUGCAGACAACUUGUUCAAAGAGGCUAAGACCAACCUAGGGGAUCUCAAUGGGAUCAUAUAUAGCAACAUCAUACAUGCCCACUGCCAGUCUGGCAAUAUGGAUAGAGCUGAAGAGCUGGUCCGUGAAAUGGAAGAGGAUGGGAUAGACGCUCCCAUAGAUGCAUAUCACAGUAUGAUGCAUGGAUAUACUAUCAUUCAAGAUGAAAAGAAAUGUCUAAUUGUGUUUGAAAGGCUGAAGGAAUGUUGCUUUACACCAUCAAUAAUUUCUUAUGGAUGCCUUAUUAAUUUGUAUGUCAAGAUUGGUAAGGUCGCUAAAGCUAUAGCUAUUAGCAAAGAAAUGGAGUCAUAUGGAAUCAAGCAUAACAACAAAACUUACUCUAUGCUGAUAAGUGGAUUUAUCCAUUUACACGACUUCACAAAUGCUUUCCACAUAUUUGAGGAAAUGCUAAAAUCUGGUCUUCAGCCUGAUCGUGCCAUAUACAAUUUGCUGAUAGAAGCAUUUUGUAAGAUGGGAAAUAUGGAUCGAGCUAUUCGCAUUCUGGAAAAAAUGCAGAAGGAACGAAUGCAACCAUCAAAUAGGGCAUUUAGGCCAAUCAUAGAGGGGUUUGCGGUUGCUGGAGAUAUGAAAAGGGCUCUGGAUAUUCUUGAUCUGAUGCGACGAAGUGGUUGUGCUCCCACUGUAAUGACCUACAAUGCUCUUAUUCAUGGGCUAAUUAGAAAGAACCAGGUUGAAAGGGCCGUUUCUGUGCUUAACAAGAUGUAUAUUGCUGGUAUUACGCCAAAUGAACAUACAUACACAAUCAUUAUGAGAGGUUAUGCUGCUACUGGGGAUAUCGCAAAGGCAUUUGAAUAUUUCAUGAAGAUCAAAGAGGGUGGUCUAAAACUUGAUGUCUACAUUUACGAGACGCUGCUAAGGGCCUGUUGCAAAUCAGGGAGAAUGCAGAGUGCUUUAGCAGUCACCCGUGAGAUGAGCUCUCAGAAGAUAUCAAGGAAUACAUUUGUAUAUAACAUUCUGAUUGAUGGGUGGGCUCGGAGGGGAGAUGUUUGGGAGGCAGCAGACUUGAUGAAGCAAAUGAAAGAAGAUGGAGUCCCACCGAACAUUCAUACAUAUACCUCCUACAUAAAUGCAUGCUGCAAAGCAGGAGACAUGCAGAGGGCACAAACGGUGAUAGAAGAAAUGGCAGAUGUCGGACUGAAACCUAAUCUCAAGACAUAUACUACCUUGAUUAAAGGUUGGGCAAGGGCGUCACUUCCAGACAGAGCAUUGAAAUGUUUUGAAGAGAUGAAGCUGGCGGGGCUGAAGCCUGAUGAGGCCGCUUAUCAUUGCUUGGUAACUUCACUUCUCUCCAGGGCAACUGUGAUGGAGGGAAGCACCUACACAGGAAUCUUGAGUGUUUGUAGAGAAAUGUUUGAGAAUGAUUUGACUGUUGAUAUGCGCACUGCUGUUCACUGGUCAAGAUGGCUUCACAAGAUUGAGAUGACGGGUGGCGCACUAACUGAAGCACUUCAGAGAAUAUUUCCUCCUGAUUGGAAUUCAUUAGAAGUUCUAGGAGAGGUUUCUGAUUCUGUAAGCACUGGGGACUCAGAUUAUUCCAGUGAUUCUGAUUUUAGCGAUGGUGACGAGAAUCAAGAAGCUGAUGACAGCUGA
rnacentral:rRNA from 1 species